rnacentral:rRNA from 1 species
UACGUACCGUCCAACCGUUAUUCGGAAUUACUGGGCUUAAAGGGUAUGUAGGCGGCGCUGUUAGUCGGGUGUGAAAUCCCUCGGCUCAACCGAGGAAUUGCGCCCGAUACUGCAGUGCUUGAGGGAGACAGAGGUAAGCGGAACUGAUGGUGGAGCGGUGAAAUGCGUUGAUAUCAUCAGGAACACCGGUGGCGAAAGCGGCUUACUGGGUCUCUUCUGACGCUGAGAUACGAAAGCUAGGGGAGCGAAGGGG